rnacentral:rRNA from 1 species
UACGAGUACCCCAAGCGUUAUCCGGAAUCAUUGGGCGUAAAGGGUGUGUAGGCGGUUUGGUUAGUCUUCUGUCAAAAUCUUGGGCUCAACCCAAGACUUGCAGUGGAAACGGCCAGACUAGAGGGUGCGAGAGGUGAAUGGAACUCAUGGAGUAGGGGUGAAAUCCGUUGAUAUCAUGGGGAACACCAAAGGCGAAGGCAAUUCACUGGCGCAUUUCUGACGCUGAAACACGAAAGCGUGGGUAGCGAACGGG